rnacentral:rRNA from 1 species
GUGGGGAAUAUUGGACAAUGGGGGGAACCCUGAUCCAGCCAUGCCGCGUGUGUGAAGAAGGCCUUUUGGUUGUAAAGCACUUUAAGCGAGGAGGAGGCUACCGAGAUUAAUACUCUAGGAUAGUGGACGUUACUCGCAGAAUAAGCACCGGCUAACUCUGUGCCAGCAGCCGCGGUAAUACAUAGGGUGCAAGCGUUAAUCGGAUUUACUGGGCGUAAAGCGCGCGUAGGUGGCCAAUUAAGUCAAAUGUGAAAUCCCCGAGCUUAACUUGGGAAUUGCAUUCGAUACUGGUUGGCUAGAGUAUGGGAGAGGAUGGUAGAAUUCCAGGUGUAGCGGUGAAAUGCGUAGAGAUCUGGAGGAAUACCGAUGGCGAAGGCAGCCAUCUGGCCUAAUACUGACACUGAGGUGCGAAAGCAUGGGGAGCAAACAGGAUUAGAAACCCGUGUAGUCC